UCCGGUGACUAUAGCGAAGAGGAUACACCUGUUACCAUCCCGAACACAGUAGUUAAGCUCUUUAGCGCUGAGGAUACUUGGAGGGCGACCUCCCGGGAAAUUAGGACGUCGCCGGUU
rnacentral:rRNA from 1 species